UAUAAAUCUGCAGUUCUCCCUCUAGAGGUUGAUAUUAUCACCAGACCAUGGGCCAGCAAGGACCGGGGGACCUGGUCAGGAUUAGUCCUCGGAGGCAGUAGACCAGCACUCACAGAUCCCCAUCUUUGACAGCAUUGGAGAAGCUAGAAUUACAUUAUUUUUCAAAAGGACAAAGUAACAAAAGAGCUGGCUGACUGAUAUGUGCAGUAGGUAAAUUUUUCAUCUUUAGUAAUUCUGGAUCCUCAUUCAAUGAUUUCAUUUUUUUAGAUAUUUGUGAUCAAUAUUACACCAUUUCCCAACAGUGGUUUCCAGUCCAAUAUGGCUGGUUUUCUUAUAAGAAGAGGAAAUGAGGAUACAGAAAACAUAGACAGAGGAAUGGCCGUGUGAUGACACAGGGAGAAGGGAGCCAUCUGCAAACCAAGGAGAGAGGCC
rnacentral:lncRNA from 1 species